rnacentral:other from 1 species
GAAGCCCUGCGUUGUGCGUGGAAGCCGUUAGUGUUGAGCCAACACCAACACAUUGGGAGCCAGACUCUGAAUAUGGCUUGUAUGCCUCCUUUUGAGUGGACACAAAAAGUAUUUCAGGCUGCACCCACCUGCGAGAGCAGGUUCAAACCAGCGGUUUACACGGCAUCUGUGGGGUAGUU